rnacentral:lncRNA from 1 species
ACUCCACCAUCAUCCUGAGCAUCGUCAACGUUUUCAAGGGUUUGGACAUCUUGAAUCCAGACCAGAAAUGGAAGAGAGCAUACAUUGGCAUCCUCAUAUUUCUGGGUUGUGUGGCAGUCGUUCUUGAGGCUUUAACUUGGUUCAUUGUCCUGAGGAGGAAGAGAGUGGAAUCCGACAAGCUAUCAGGCAGUGUUAAUGGAACAACUGGGGUUAACCAGGGGGUUUAGAUCGCACUCUUUCUUUUUUUUUUUCCUUUUCUGUUCUGCGGUCUUUUACGACACGAUUGAGGAGGGUAUAUUACAUGAACCUUACAGAGCUGCUUAUUGAUGUUUCUUGUUGUGUUAGAUUACUUGGUAGAGAGGUGUUAAUUUGCAUGUGGAUAGGCUGUAACUUUGCAUCAUAUAUACAUAUGUAUAAAUAUAUUCAUGGGAUUCCAUUAUUUUAGUUUCAUAUAAUUAAUAAAACAUUGGAUUAUUCCAUUUCAUUGUUGCUGUCUUAAUUCAGCUAAGCAUGUGUUUUUCACCCAUUUUCUCAAUCCGCAAGUUCGGGAAUUAAUAUCCCAUUUGGGAGCUACAUUAACACAGUAUAAAUUCACACAUAUAUUGGCAUUAUAUGUUUGGGAGUAGAGAAAGUAAAAGGAAGAACAUGGCCUCCAAAAAUGGAUGAAAUUUACUAACAGUAACAUAAUUUGGGAGCACUUACCUGUUCCUGCUGCAGGGGCGUAAAGGACCCUGUUUUGGGAUGUUUGACUCUGCUUCAAGAAUCUAGCCUAUUUUAGCCAACUUAAAAAGAAUAUACGAAUUUAUAAAAAGAAUGAACAAAUUUAUAUUGGAAACGUAGCUCUAAUUUUUCGAGCUGAU